GUGUAGAAUCCGCCCGUUGGUGCUCGCGGCGUGGUUCACAUGCUGCAGUUCAACGGGAAGCAGGAGGGUGAUGCUGGCAACAGCUGACCUAACCUGCGCUGCCCCCGCAACGGUAAGUGGACGAAUCCCCCGAGAUUCCGCUUCCAUCACGGCCACUGAGUGUUUUGAACAAGCACUUGGGAAGGCGAUGGAGGUUGUUCCACCAGCCGGAUACCGGCCAACACGGUGGUUGCACG
rnacentral:ncRNA from 2 species